AGUGAACGCUGGCGGUAGGCCUAACACAUGCAAGUCGAACGGCAGCACAGGAGAGCUUGCUCUCUGGGUGGCGAGUGGCGGACGGGGGAGGAAUACAUCGGAAUCUACUCUGUCGUGGGGGAUAACGUAGGGAAACUUACGCUAAUACCGCAUACGACCUACGGGUGAAAGCAGGGGAUCUUCGGACCUUGCGCGAUUGAAUGAGCCGAUGUCGGAUUAGCUAGUUGGCGGGGUAAAGGCCCACCAAGGCGACGAUCCGGAGCUGGUCUGAGAGGAUGAUCAGCCACACUGGAACUGAGACACGGUCCAGACUCCUACGGGAGGCAGCAGUGGGGAAUAUUGGACAAUGGGCGCAAGCCUGAUCCAGCCAUACCGCGUGGGUGAAGAAGGCCUUCGGGUUGUAAAGCCCUUUUGUUGGGAAAGAAAUCCAGCUGGCUAAUACCCGGUUGGGAUGACGGUACCCAAAGAAUAAGCACCGGCUAACUUCGUGCCAGCCGCCGCCGUAA
rnacentral:rRNA from 1 species